AACUUGAGGAUUUUUGGACACCGAACCCGAACAUUUCAUUAAAAGUUCUGUUUCAGGUUCGGUGUUUGGUGAUUUAUUGGAGCUUUUUGAAAGGCUGCAGAGCAGGCAAUCAACAAGUGUUUAACUCUGUGCCCUUAGAAGCCAU